UACGGAGGGUGCAAACGUUGCCCGGAAUCAUUGGGCGUAAAGCGCACGUAGGCGGUCCGUUAUGUCGGGUGUGAAAGCCCUCGGCUUAACCGAGGAAGUGCAUUCGAAACUGGCGGACUUGAGUACCGGAGAGGGUCGUGGAAUUCCCAGUGUAGCGGUGAAAUGCGUAGAUAUUGGGAGGAACACCGGUGGCGAAGGCGGCUACCUGGACCGGUACUGACGCUGAGGCGCGAAAGCUAGGGUAGCAAACAGG
rnacentral:rRNA from 1 species